CCAGAGAACUUUCCAGAGAUGGAUUGGUGUCUUCGGGGAACUCUGAGACAGGUGCUGCAUGGCUGUCGUCAGCUCGUGUUGUGAAAUGUUGGGUUAAGUCCCGCAACGAGCGCAACCCUUAUCCUUUGUUGCCAGCGGUUAGGCCGGGAACUCAAAGGAGACUGCCAGUGAUAAACUGGAGGAAGGUGGGGAUGACGUCAAGUCAUCAUGGCCCUUACGAGUAGGGCUACACACGUGCUACAAUGGCGCAUACAAAGAGAAGCGACCUCGCGAGAGCAAGCGGACCUCAUAAAGUGCGUCGUAGUCCGGAUUGGAGUCUGCAACUCGACUCCAUGAAGUCGGAAUCGCUAGUAAUCGUGGAUCAGAAUGCCACGGUGAAUACGUUCCCGGGCCUUGUACACACCGCCCGUCACACCAUGGGAGUGGGUUGCAAAAGAAGUAGGUAGCUUAACCUUCGGGAGGGCGCUUACCACUUUGUGAUUCAUGACUGGGGUGAAGUCGUAACAAGGUAAGCGUAGUGCU
rnacentral:rRNA from 1 species